rnacentral:piRNA from 1 species
GGUACUUCUAGUGGAUAUAUGGCACC